UACAGAGGUCCCGAGCGUUGUUCGGAUUCACUGGGCGUAAAGGGUGCGUAGGUGGUCGGGUAAGUUUGAGGUGAAAGCUCCGGGCUCAACCCGGAAAUUGCCUUGAAGACUAUCUGACUAGAGGAUUGGAGGGGAGACUGGAAUUCUCGGUGUAGCAGUGAAAUGCGUAGAUAUCGAGAGGAACACCAGUGGCGAAGGCGAGUCUCUGGACAAUUCCUGACACUGAGGCACGAAAGCCAAGGGAGCAAAC
rnacentral:rRNA from 1 species